CGCGUAGGCGGCUUCUUAAGUCGGUUGUGAAAGCCCCGGGCUCAACCCGGGGAGGCCAGCCGAUACUGGGGGGCUUGAGUGCAGGAGAGGGAAGCGGAACUGCCGGUGUAGCGGUGGAAUGCGUAGAUAUCGGCAGGAACACCCGCGGCGAAGGCGGCUUCCUGGACUGCUACUGACGCUGAGGCGCGAAAGCCAGGGGAGCGAACG
rnacentral:rRNA from 1 species